rnacentral:rRNA from 1 species
UGGCUCAGGAUGAACGCUGGCGGCGUGCUUAACACAUGCAAGUCGAACGAAGCACCUCUAAUCGAAGAUUGAGAAAGCUUGCUUUGAUUGAUUCACCUUGAGGUGACUGAGUGGCGGACGGGUGAGUAACGCGUGGGUAACCUACCCUAUACAGGGGGAUAACAGUUGGGAACGACUGCUAAUACCGCAUAAGCGCACAGGACCGCAUGGUCUAGUGUGAAAAACUCCGGUGGUAUAGGAUGGACCCGCGUCUGAUUAGCUAGUUGGUGAGGUAACGGCUCACCAAGGCGACGAUCAGUAGCCGACCUGAGAGGGUGACCGGCCACAUUGGGACUGAGACACGGCCCAAACUCCUACGGGAGGCAGCAGUGGGGAAUAUUGCACAAUGGGCGAAAGCCUGAUGCAGCGACGCCGCGUGAACGAAGAAGUAUUUCGGUAUGUAAAGUUCUAUCAGCAGGGAAGAAAAAUGACGGUACCUGACUAAGAAGCUCCGGCUAAAUACGUGCCAGCCGCAGC